rnacentral:snRNA from 1 species
AUAACUUUCUCGGCCUUUUGGCUAAGAUCAAGUGUAGUAUAUUUUCUUUAGGGUAUAGUGUUAUCUGAUACGUGGGUCAUGAUAAUUAUCCACU